rnacentral:lncRNA from 1 species
UCAAGCAAAGUUCUAUCCCUUCUCUCAACUACGUCAUUUUGUUGUGGAGUGCUCAACGCAGCCAAUUAGGAUAAAAUCUCAUUCUCUAUGAGGUAUCCUAAGAACUUACCAAACAAGUAUUCUCUCACCGUGGUAAGACCGAAAAUUUUUUAUGGAUAAACCUAAAUUUUUUUCCACUUCCACAUGAAACACUUGAAAUUUAUCAAAAGUUUCACUGUUCCAA